rnacentral:rRNA from 1 species
GUACACUCCUGCGGGAGGCAGCAGUGGGGAAUUUUGGACAAUGGGCGAAAGCCUGAUCCAGCAAUGCCGCGUGUGUGAAGAAGGCCUUCGGGUUGUAAAGCACUUUUGUCCGGAAAGAAAUCCUUGGCUCUAAUACAGUCGGGGGAUGACGGUACCGGAAGAAUAAGCACCGGCUAACUACGUGCCAGCAGCCGCGGUAAUACGUAGGGUGCGAGCGUUAAUCGGAAUUACUGGGCGUAAAGCGUGCGCAGGCGGUUUGCUAAGACCGAUGUGAAAUCCCCGGGCUCAACCUGGGAACUGCAUUGGUGACUGGCAGGCUAGAGUAUGGCAGAGGGGGGUAGAAUUCCACGUGUAGCAGUGAAAUGCGUAGAGAUGUGGAGGAAUACCGAUGGCGAAGGCAGCCCCCUGGGCCAAUACUGACGCUCAUGCACGAAAGCGUGGGGAGCAAACAGGAUUAGAAACCCCGGUAGUCCCA